rnacentral:snRNA from 1 species
CAAUCAGUAAAUAUUGAUAUGCUAAAAUUGAAAUGAUACAGAAAAGAUUAGCAUGGCCCCUGC